ACUAUUUUGGCAGAAUUAAUGUAAUAAAUUUAGAAUUUAUUAAUGUAUAAUAACUUUAUACAAAUAGUA
rnacentral:tRNA from 1 species